rfam:TPA: Bos taurus chromosome 1, whole genome shotgun sequence.
UCUCUGGUGGUCAAGUGGUUAAGACUCUAUGCUCCCAAUUCAGGGGGCCUGGGUACAAUCCCUGGUCAGGGAA